UGGCAGUCAGAGGCGAUGAAGGACGUGCUAAUCUGCGAUAAGCGUCGGUGAGGUGAUAUGAACCGUUAUAACCGGCGAUUUCCGAAUGGGGAAACCCAGUGUGUUUCGACACACUAUCAUUAACUGAAUCCAUAGGUUAAUGAGGCGAACCGGGGGAACUGAAACAUCUAAGUACCCCGAGGAAAAGAAAUCAACCGAGAUUCCCCCAGUAGCGGCGAGCGAACGGGGAGGAGCCCAGAGCCUGAAUCAGUGUGUGUGUUAGUGGAAGCGUCUGGAAAGGCGCGCGAUACAGGGUGACAGCCCCGUACACAAAAAUGCACAUAUUGUGAGCUCGAUGAGUAGGGCGGGACACGUGGUAUCCUGUCUGAAUAUGGGGGGACCAUCCUCCAAGGCUAAAUACUCCUGACUGACCGAUAGUGAACCAGUACCGUGAGGGAAAGGCGAAAAGAACCCCGGCGAGGGGAGUGAAAAAGAACCUGAAACCGUGUACGUACAAGCAGUGGGAGCCUCUUUAUGGGGUGACUGCGUACCUUUUGUAUAAUGGGUCAGCGACUUAUAUUCUGUAGCAAGGUUAACCGAAUAGGGGAGCCGAAGGGAAACCGAGUCUUAACUGGGCGUUAAGUUGCAGGGUAUAGACCCGAAACCCGGUGAUCUAGCCAUGGGCAGGUUGAAGGUUGGGUAACACUAACUGGAGGACCGAACCGACUAAUGUUGAAAAAUUAGCGGAUGACUUGUGGCUGGGGGUGAAAGGCCAAUCAAACCGGGAGAUAGCUGGUUCUCCCCGAAAGCUAUUUAGGUAGCGCCUCGUGAAUUCAUCUCCGGGGGUAGAGCACUGUUUCGGCAAGGGGGUCAUCCCGACUUACCAACCCGAUGCAAACUGCGAAUACCGGAGAAUGUUAUCACGGGAGACACACGGCGGGUGCUAACGUCCGUCGUGAAGAGGGAAACAACCCAGACCGCCAGCUAAGGUCCCAAAGUCAUGGUUAAGUGGGAAACGAUGUGGGAAGGCCCAGACAGCCAGGAUGUUGGCUUAGAAGCAGCCAUCAUUUAAAGAAAGCGUAAUAGCUCACUGGUCGAGUCGGCCUGCGCGGAAGAUGUAACGGGGCUAAACCAUGCACCGAAGCUGCGGCAGCGACACUAUGUGUUGUUGGGUAGGGGAGCGUUCUGUAAGCCUGUGAAGGUGGCCUGUGAGGGUUGCUGGAGGUAUCAGAAGUGCGAAUGCUGACAUAAGUAACGAUAAAGCGGGUGAAAAGCCCGCUCGCCGGAAGACCAAGGGUUCCUGUCCAACGUUAAUCGGGGCAGGGUGAGUCGACCCCUAAGGCGAGGCCGAAAGGCGUAGUCGAUGGGAAACAGGUUAAUAUUCCUGUACUUGGUGUUACUGCGAAGGGGGGACGGAGAAGGCUAUGUUGGCCGGGCGACGGUUGUCCCGGUUUAAGCGUGUAGGCUGGUUUUCCAGGCAAAUCCGGAAAACCAAGGCUGAGGCGUGAUGACGAGGCACUACGGUGCUGAAGCGACAAAUGCCCUGCUUCCAGGAAAAGCCUCUAAGCAUCAGGUAACAUCAAAUCGUACCCCAAACCGACACAGGUGGUCAGGUAGAGAAUACCAAGGCGCUUGAGAGAACUCGGGUGAAGGAACUAGGCAAAAUGGUGCCGUAACUUCGGGAGAAGGCACGCUGAUAUGUAGGUGAAGCGACUUGCUCGUGGAGCUGAAAUCAGUCGAAGAUACCAGCUGGCUGCAACUGUUUAUUAAAAACACAGCACUGUGCAAACACGAAAGUGGACGUAUACGGUGUGACGCCUGCCCGGUGCCGGAAGGUUAAUUGAUGGGGUUAGCGGUAACGCGAAGCUCUUGAUCGAAGCCCCGGUAAACGGCGGCCGUAACUAUAACGGUCCUAAGGUAGCGAAAUUCCUUGUCGGGUAAGUUCCGACCUGCACGAAUGGCGUAAUGAUGGCCAGGCUGUCUCCACCCGAGACUCAGUGAAAUUGAACUCGCUGUGAAGAUGCAGUGUACCCGCGGCAAGACGGAAAGACCCCGUGAACCUUUACUAUAGCUUGACACUGAACAUUGAGCCUUGAUGUGUAGGAUAGGUGGGAGGCUUUGAAGUGUGGACGCCAGUCUGCAUGGAGCCGACCUUGAAAUACCACCCUUUAAUGUUUGAUGUUCUAACGUUGGCCCGUAAUCCGGGUUGCGGACAGUGUCUGGUGGGUAGUUUGACUGGGGCGGUCUCCUCCUAAAGAGUAACGGAGGAGCACGAAGGUUGGCUAAUCCUGGUCGGACAUCAGGAGGUUAGUGCAAUGGCAUAAGCCAGCUUGACUGCGAGCGUGACGGCGCGAGCAGGUGCGAAAGCAGGUCAUAGUGAUCCGGUGGUUCUGAAUGGAAGGGCCAUCGCUCAACGGAUAAAAGGUACUCCGGGGAUAACAGGCUGAUACCGCCCAAGAGUUCAUAUCGACGGCGGUGUUUGGCACCUCGAUGUCGGCUCAUCACAUCCUGGGGCUGAAGUAGGUCCCAAGGGUAUGGCUGUUCGCCAUUUAAAGUGGUACGCGAGCUGGGUUUAGAACGUCGUGAGACAGUUCGGUCCCUAUCUGCCGUGGGCGCUGGAGAACUGAGGGGGGCUGCUCCUAGUACGAGAGGACCGGAGUGGACGCAUCACUGGUGUUCGGGUUGUCAUGCCAAUGGCACUGCCCGGUAGCUAAAUGCGGAAGAGAUAAGUGCUGAAAGCAUCUAAGCACGAAACUUGCCCCGAGAUGAGUUCUCCCUGAGACUUAGAGUCUCCUGAAGGAACGUUGAAGACGACGACGUUGAUAGGCCGGGUGUGUAAGCGCAGCGAUGCGUUGAGCUAACCGGUACUAAUGAACCGUGAGGCUUAACCUU
rnacentral:rRNA from 2 species